rnacentral:rRNA from 1 species
AACGGACGCUGGCGGCAUGCCUAACACAUGCAAGUCGAACGAGACCUUCGGGUCUAGUGGCGCACGGGUGCGUAACGCGUGGGAACCUGCCCUUAGGUUCGGAAUAACUCCCCGAAGGGGGUGCUAAUACCGGAUAAUGUCUUCGGACCAAAGAUUUAUCGCCUUUGGAUGGGCCCGCGUUGGAUUAGCUAGUUGGUAGGGUAAAAGCCUACCAAGGCGACGAUCCAUAGCUGGUCUGAGAGGAUGAUCAGCCACACUGGGACUGAGACACGGCCCAGACUCCUACGGGAGGCAGCAGUGGGGAAUAUUGGACAAUGGGCGAAAGCCUGAUCCAGCAAUGCCGCGUGAGUGAUGAAGGCCUUAGGGUUGUAAAGCUCUUUUACCCGGGAUGAUAAUGACAGUACCGGGAGAAUAAGCUCCGGCUAACUCCGUG